rnacentral:rRNA from 1 species
GACGAACGCUGGCGGCGUGCUUAACACAUGCAAGUCGAACGGUGAACGAGGGAGCUUGCUCCCUCCGGAUCAGUGGCGAACGGGUGAGUAACACGUGAGCAAUCUGCCCCGAACUCUGGGAUAAGCGUUGGAAACGACGUCUAAUACCGGAUACGACGCGGGAGGGCAUCCUCUCCGCGUGGAAAGAACUUCGGUUCGGGAUGAGCUCGCGGCCUAUCCGCUUGUUGGUGAGGUAACGGCUCACCAAGGCGACGACGGGUAGCCGGCCUGAGAGGGUGACCGGCCACACUGGGACUGAGAGACGGCCCAGACUCCUAUGGGAGGCAGCAGUGGGGAAUAUUGCACAAUGGGCGCAAGCCUGAUGCAGCAACGCCGCGUGAGGGAAGACGGCCUUCGGGUUGUAAACCUAUUUUAGCAGGGAAGAAGCGAAAGUGACGGUACCUGCAGAAAAAGCACCGGCUAACUACGUG